GCCUAGCUAGCUCAGUUGGUAGAGCUUGUGACUCUCAAACUCAGGGUUGUGAGUACAAGCCCCACGUUGGCCA
rnacentral:tRNA from 1 species